AUGAACGCUGGCGGCGUGCCUAAUACAUGCAAGUCGAGCGAACAGAUGAGGAGCUUGCUCCUCUGACGUUAGCGGCGGACGGGUGAGUAACACGUGGAUAACCUACCUAUAAGACUGGGAUAACUUCGGGAAACCGGAGCUAAUACCGGAUAAUAUAUUUAACCGCAUGGUUCAAUAGUGAAAGACGGUUUUGCUGUCACUUAUAGAUGGAUCCGCGCCGCAUUAGCUAGUUGGUAAGGUAACGGCUUACCAAGGCAACGAUGCGUAGCCGACCUGAGAGGGUGAUCGGCCACACUGGAACUGAGACACGGUCCAGACUCCUACGGGAGGCAGCAGUAGGGAAUCUUCCGCAAUGGGCGAAAGCCUGACGGAGCAACGCCGCGUGAGUGAUGAAGGUCUUCGGAUCGUAAAACUCUGUUAUUAGGGAAGAACAAAUGUGUAAGUAACUAUGCACGUCUUGACGGUACCUAAUCAGAAAGCCACGGCUAACUACGUG
rnacentral:rRNA from 1 species